GGAACUCUGAGAAUAGAGCUAAUUAUCCUAAAGAGCUAAUGCAUUGAACAGGGAGCAAGCCUACUAGACAAGUCAUUUGGGAUGAAUUGGUUGUUGAUAAUAAUAAAAUUUUUCUUUCAUGUCUUAAAGUAUUGUAUGUGAUUUAAAAUAAUUUGACUAUAAGUGAAUAAUUAUUGUGUUAUGGAAGGGAGCAAAUGAGGGAAAUAAAUCAAGUUUAGUUGAUGUGUUCCAUGCGACUCGUAAGAAAGGCACCGACCUUCCAAAUGCAGAGACGAAACAAAAAUAUGAUGAAAUUCGAAAAACAAUAGAAAAUGAACCAUCACUUUCUCAUGCCCAAGUAUAUACAUUUUUUUUUGUCAUAUAUUCCAUUACAAGAAUGUAAUGUACUCCCUAUAUAUAUUUCAUAAUUUGUUAUAUGGAAUGUUAAGAUGUGCAAAAAUUAAUGUGAUUUAAAUGGGUUAUAUGUAAAACAUGUAGGUUGCACAGAAGGUUUUUAAGUCAAAGUCUCGUGAUCGGGUUGUGUGUUUUGGAGGAGGUAUAACACUUAAAGAAAUAACAGGACCACAACCUAGUAGAGUGGAACUUCAAACUGAGUUGACAACCGCA